UUGGAUGUGAUGAUACUUUCCCCAAGUGAUCGACGCUAAUUAUACUAUGCUGGUGUUUUUAUCACAUUCCGUCUGAUUCAU
rnacentral:snoRNA from 1 species